AGGAAAGGCGAGGCUCUGCAUCUAGAUUUACCUCGUUCUCUUUUGUCUCCGCUUUUUUUUCACAUUUCCUUGCGACCCUGGCCCUUGAGCGACAAAAAGGGGAAGCCAAGGCUGGCCCGAGGAACGGAGAGGGCACAUGGCCUAGCCACAAGUGGAGCUUCUGCUCCGCCCGAAGGGAUGCGCUGGAGCGGCCUCUUCCUUCUGCCACGGUCUUUCUUUGCCAACUAGUGGAGACUGGACCUCAGAAGAGGGAGUGGGUGCCCCGAGAACUCACAGCUAGCGGACAGUGGAAAGGGCAGGAGCCGGACCAAGGUGAGGACAGUGGAACUGAAGGCCGCUGGUUACCUCUCCUGCCCUCCGCUGGCCACAGUGGAGAAGACAGCCCCUCCCUCCUGCUCUGACCUGACAGUGUUCAUCCAUCGCCCUGUAUUAGCGAAGAACAACAUCAAGCUGGCUAGCAAGGAACUGUAUACAGGGUCCAGCUGGGUAUCACACUGGAUCUCACCCAAAGCUUAGAUGUGAUCCAGCUCAGUAUCACAAAGCAGAACGAAAAGGAUGUGUUUGGGCUGAGAGGCCAUACAUUGGUAAGUGGCACAUGAACUGUAUUUUCUAUUGAGCAUUGCUGGUAUAUGGCAAAUUUGCAUAAAAUUAUAUUGAAAUUGACUACCGGAUUGCACUUUCUUGUUCCUUCUGAUAAUUUUUCACGUGUUCUUUUUCUUUCUUACUUUAGAUGGAGUCUUGCUCUGUCGCCCAGGCUGGAGUCCAGUGGCGCGAUCUCGGUUCACUGCAAGCUCUGCCUCCCGAGUUCAUGCCAUUCUCCUGCCUCAGCCUCCUGAGUAGCUGGGACUACAGGCACCUGCCACCACGGCUGGCUAAUUUUUUUUUUUUUUUUUUUGAAAUGGAGUCUUGCUCUGUUGCCCAGGCUGGAGUGCAGUGGCGCGAUCUCAGCUCACUGCAAACUCCGCCUCCCGAGUUCAUGCCAUUCUCUUGCCUCAGCCUCCCGAGUAGCUGGGACUACAGGAGCCCACCACCAUGCCCGGCUAAUUUUUUGUAUUUUUAGUAGAGACGGGGUUUCACCAUGUUAGCCAGCAUGGUCUCUAUCUCCUGACCUCGUGAUCCACCUGCCUCGGCCUCUUUUUUAUAUUUUUAGUAGAGAUUUCACUGUGUUAACCAGGAUGGCCUCGCUCUCCUGACCUCAUGAUCUGCCCGCUUCAGCCUCCCAAAGUGCUGGGAUUACAGGCGUGAGCCACCGCGCCCGGUUAUUUGUUUAUUUAUUUAUUUAUUUUUUGAGACCGAGUCUUGCUCUGUAGCCCAGGCUGGAGUGCAGUGGCGCCAUCUUGGCUCACUGCAACCUCCACCUCCCACAUUGAAGCAGUUCUCCUGCCUCAGCCUCCCAAGUAACUGGGAUUACAGGAGCACACCACCACAUCUGGCUAAUUUUUUGUAUUUUUAGUAGAGAUGGGGUUUCACCAUGUUCGCUAGGCUGGUCUGAAACUCCUGACCUCAUGAUCCACCCGCCUUGGCCUCCCAAAGUGCUGGGAUUACAGGCAAUUCUGCUGCCUCAGCCUCCCAAGUAGCUGUGAUUACAGGUGUGUGCCACCAUGCCCGGCUAAUUUUUGUAUUUUUAGUAGAGACGAGGUUUUGCCAUGUUGCCCAAGCUGGUCUCAAACUCCUGACCUCAAGUGAUCUACCCGCCUUGGUCUCCUAAAGUGUUAAGAUUACAGGCAUGAGCCAUCGGGACCGGCCCACUGUUUUUUCUCGCUAGAAAAUACAGUCUAAAGUGGCCAGGUGCGGUGGCUCACGCCUGUAACCAUCCUGGCUAACACGGUGAAACCCCAGCUCUACUAAAAAUACAAAAAAUAAGCCGGACGUGGUGGCAGGCACCUUGUCCCAGCUACUCGGCAGGCUGAGGCAGGAGAAUGGCGUGAACCCAGGAUGCGGAGGUUGCAGUGAGCUGAGAACACGCCACUGCACUCCAGUCUGGAUGACAGAGCAAUACUCCGUCUCACAAAAAAGAAAAUAUAGUCUAUAAAUAAUGAAGAAAGUAAAGUGAACCUGGGAGGUGGAGGUUAUAGUGAGCUGAGAUCAUGGCACUGCACUUCAGCCUGGGCAGCAGCAAGACUCCGUCUCAAAAAAAAAAAAAAAAAAGAAAUAUGCGAGCUGCUAAGCUAGGCAGUUCUGGCUCAAGAUCUCUCAUGAUACUGCAGACACCACACCAACGAGGACCCCAGUCCUCUGGCACUGGAGGACCCACUUAGAAGGCGGAUGACUCACGUGGCUCUUGGCAGGAGACCUCAGUUCCUCCCCACAUAGGCCUCCCUAUAGGACUGCUUGAGUGUCCCGUUUACCAAAUGAUCUAAAUAUGUUCCGGUUUUGAUUGGCUGCUCUGCAAUGUGGGCCGUUAUCUAGCUGAUUCGGUGGGGCCUGAAGUGUCAGUUCCUGCCGCAGGGAUGUUAUAUGGAACCUUUGGCAGGCCGCUACAGACGAAUCAUAAUAUAAACCUGUGCUAGUUAUUGAUUACGUCCCAGCUCCUGCGUUGCCUGCUCUGUGAAAUGGUUCUGGCCCUUUAGUUUUUCCUUUACCAGCUGGCAUGAUCUUAAGCUUUGUCAGUAGAGGGCGCUGGAGAGACAUUGCAGGAGACGAGUUUCCCUUCCUGCUUCUGGUGUGUUCUCUCUAGGCUCCGGCAUGACGGGUGACUUCUUCCGAGUCUGGCUUCUGCAGCACACAGGGCUUCGCCAGCACCCAGCUCCUGCAGCAUGGGCAGCUCCUGUGACAGCAGGCGCCCGCAGCCUGCAAAGCGUCUCCAGUGCCGCCGCCUCAGUGAACCUCAACCAGCGGCACCUAGCAGCUUUCUCUGCCACCCUCUUCAGGUAGUUCUGUAGCAGCGCGUUUCUCAUGAGACACUUCCCUGUGAGCAGCUUUUUCUACCCUUGAGGAUGGAUUUCCAGCAAAUUCUGCCCAUGUGGUACCACAGCCACUUCUCUGCCAUUCAGUGAAACUGCCGUUGUGCCCUCUUCAAGGUCUGGAUCUAAGCCCAGGGACCAGGAAACCUCUUGCUUGAGUGCUGGAACUCAGGCCAGAAGGCAGGAAGCCCGCCUGACCCCAUGUCUCAGGCUGCCAGAGGAGCGUGCGAUGAGGAAGGCUGGACUGUCUUCACAGGACACCAGGGAGAAGCCUCAAGCCACUGCCCCCUGACAAGUCGCAGCUCUCCAGCCUGUCUCCUCACUCCCCUCCCCUCCACAUGGGGGGGUUGGGGUGGGGGCGGGGAAGGUUCGGGGCAGGGGUCAUUUCAGCUACUGGGCACCAGUCUCCUCCUCAUGUUUAUCCUGUUCCCUUUGCUUGAAAGGUUCGUACUCCAGAUCCUUGUAAAACCGCUUCUCACCCUUUGAGUCUCAGCUUAAAUGUCCCCUCCUUGGAGGGGUCUUCCCUGACAAUGAAGCUCCGACCGUCCUCUCCUGUUUUACCCAGUUCAUUUCUUUCUGGCAUUUGUAACUACUUGAAGUUAAAGUGUGUGCCAUGUAUGUGUCUGUCAGUUUCCCCCACCACACUGGAACCCCAUGAGGGCAAGGGUCUUGUCUGGAAUCUUCCUCACUUACAACUCAACAUUUAGCAAAGGACCUUUGCUAAAUUAACAGGCAUUCAUUUUGUAUUUGAAAAAUGAACUAGUGAGGCCGGGCGUGGUGGCUCACACCUGCAAUCCCGGCACUUUGGGAGACCGAGGCGGGCUUGAGGUCAGGAGUUCGAGACCGGCCUGGCCAACAUGGUGAAACCCCAUUAAAAAUACAAAAAUUGGCUGGGCGCGGUGGCUCACGCCUGUAAUCCCAACACUUCGGGAGGCUGAAGCGGGCGGAUCACGAGGUUAGGAGUUCAAGACCAGCCUGACCAACAUAGUGAAACCCCAUCUCUACUAAAAAUACAAAAAUUAGCCGGGCAUGAUGGCAGGCGCCUGUAAUCCCAGCUACUCGGGAGGCUGAGGCGGAAGAAUCGCUUGAACCAGGAGGUGGAGAUUGCCGUGAGCUGAGAUCACGCCACUACACUCCAGCCUGGGCAACAGAGCACGAAUCCAUCUCCGAAAAACAAACAAAAAAACGAAUGUGUGAGGAACGCAGCAAAGCCCCUACAGUUAACGUUUGCCGCCCUCUGCCCCUCAGGCACUCCAGAGCCGCGAGCCGCCUCGCACAGCCCGCGCGUUUCUUCUGCUCCCCCGGAAGAGGGCACGGUCUCCUUCCUGGCCGCUCUCUGCCGGCCGUACCGCACGACAGCUGGCAGCACCGUCAGCCCCUGCUCGGGAGCUCGGAAGAUGCUCUAGCUCCGCGGCCAGUGCAGCGAACCCACCCAACCCUGGUGCAGGAGCCAUUGCAGCAAAU
rnacentral:lncRNA from 1 species